CCUACGGGUGGCAGCAGUGGGGAAUAUUGGGCAAUGGGCGCAAGCCUGACCCAGCAACGCCGCGUGAAGGAAGAAGGCUUUCGGGAUGUAAACUUCUGUCGUCAGGGAAGAGUAGAAGACGGUACCUGACGCAUAAGGCACGGCUAACUACGUGCCAGCAGCCCCGGUAAUACGGAGGUGGCAAGCGUUGUCCGGAUUUAAUGGGUGGAAAGGGCGUGUAGCCGGGUUGACAAGUCUGAUGUGAAAUCCUGCGGCUUAACCGCCGAACUGCAUUUGAAACUGUUGAUCUUGAGUACAGGAGAGGCAGAUGGAAUUCCUAGUGUAGCGGUGAAAUGCGUAGAUAUUAGGAGGAACACCAGUGGCGAAGGCGGUUUGCUGGACAGCAACUGACGGUGAGGCGCGAAAGCGUGGGGAGCAAACAGGAUUAGAUACCCUGGUAGUC
rnacentral:rRNA from 1 species